rnacentral:lncRNA from 1 species
CACAUCCUUUAUGGUGGCACUGAGAGAACGGUCUUGUUGGACGGGAUCCUGCACCCCAAAAUCUUCUGCCUCUUUCAGGCCGGUGACAACAUUUCAGGGAACGAGGAAAUCAAAGAUUAAGGUCCACCUGCCCAACUUUCUGUUUCCUUUCUCCUCACGACUUCGCUUUUUCAGAGAAGUUGUCCUCUGUUUCUCAUUAAAAAGCCCAAAGGCAUGACUGGAUUGUCAACGUUUUCAUUCGUACCUAGCUCAGACGCCCUGUGGCCUGUAGUGUUGCUUUCGAGACCACAUCCUGACCAGACCCUGCUAAAGCCGAUCUUUCACUGAACAACAGAAAUAUGAGCUGCCCAGAAAGAAACACAUCUUAAAGAGUUCGGACUUCUUUACGUGGAGAAAAGAUUUUAAGGAGGAUUUGAGGUGAUAGAUUAUAUACUGCAGGUUGGUCUGCAUCGUAAUGAUUGGCAAGGUGCUUCUGUGGGCUCUCAUCGGUUCCUGUACAUCAGUCACUGUGAUCACACCCCAAACCCGAGUCUGGGUCUAUUCCGGCAAGACUGCUGUCCUUCCAGUUUUAAUUCAGUUCCAGAAUCCAAAGUGGGAAUAUUUUCAUGUCCGGUGGGAAUUCCUCACACAGAAUUGCCCCGUCCUUUUCUAUGUCAUGAAUUGCUCCACUCCUCCUCCUGGGUCACAGAAACGUACCUGCGACCAUCAGAUGGAGAUGGAAGGACGCUUUUCAGGAAGGGUCAACAUUUCUAGGGAUGUUUCCCUGGAGCUGAGGGAUGCAAACCCUGAGGAUGCCGGAAUAUAUGAGGUAACCAUAUACGCACUUGAUGAGUCUGGCAGAGGACAAGUGGAACUUGUGUUCAUGGAAGGUACCACAAAAGAUCUCAGGUUCAUGGUGACCAAAAACCACAGCCCGGUGGGAGAAGGAGGGGUCCAUACGCCUGGAUUACGUACUUCAGGGAAGUCUAGUCCUUCAAACAAAGGAGGUAAGAGAAGUACAAAUUUAGUCAUUCUCCAAUAAAACACGCAGAAUAUUUGCCCACUUUUUCAAUACCUUAGCAGAGCAGAAGGGACCGUAUUUUUCCAUGUAUAAGAUGCCCCCAUGUAUAAGACACCCCCCAUUUCGAAUUCAAAAUUAAGAAAUCUGAGUGUUGCUUAGCAAGUGUAUGGGGAAAGGGAUCAAAGCGCUGAAGGAAAGGGUAUUCCAUCUUUCCUUAUCUAUUGAUAUGUUUACCGUAUAUUUCUGUGUAUAAGAUGAUACUUUUUAUCUAGAUAAAAAUUGAGGGUCAUCUUAUACAUGGAAUUAAGGGGGAAAGGGAUCAAAGCCCUGCACGACUGCAGCCCUUUCAUGGCUGCUUUAACCCUCCAUUUCCUAAGCCCCGAAAGGAGAGGUAAAGCAGCUAUAAAAAAUUUUUAUUUGGGGAUGGAAAAGUGGGGGGUCGUCUUAUACACUGGGUCAUCUUAUACACAGAAAAAUACGUUAUGUGUGUCCUUCCUGGGCCUGAAUGUACGGCGUUCAACCUCGGGCUCCCUGCUGGUUUUAUGUUGUGACUAUGACCUCACUGUGAUCCUGGCAACAUUCCUAAGCUUGGCCAUCUGCUCAUCAAAAGUGAGUGGGCGGAAGGUGAGAAACAAGAGAAACUUUAUACUACCCAUGAAUGCCUUUCUCUGGCUAAAUGUAAGAGGCCUGUUCACCUCUUAAACUGUGUCUGAGCAUAUCCAGGUAUCAGGUCAAUGAAGAUUAAAACCCAGAUUUCCCCCAUUCCAAUCCAAUAAUCUGCCCCCUACACCAGGCUCAAUAGCUGCCAGAUUUUUAGUGUCACUUAAGAAGAAGAGAUAGAUUGGGGUGUGAAAUACCCUUUCUGAGACCAAAGCUCAAGGAGUCUGGAAGAACAGUGGGUUGGUGGGGGGCAGGAGAGAAAUCAUUUAACUUCUCAUUACCACUC